rnacentral:rRNA from 1 species
ACGGGAGGCAGCAGUGAGGAAUAUUGGUCAAUGGGCGGAAGCCUGAACCAGCCAAGUAGCGUGCAGGAUGACGGCCCUAUGGGUUGUAAACUGCUUUUGUGCGGGGAUAAGAAGCGGGACGUGUCCCGCCUUGUAGGUACCACAAGAAAAAGGACCGGCUAAUUCCGUGCCAGCAGCCGCGGUAAUACGGAAGGUCCGGGCGUUAUCCGGAUUUAUUGGGUUUAAAGGGUGCGCAGGCGGUCGAUUAAGUCAGUGGUCAAAUCACGGUGCUCAACGCCGUUCCGCCAUUGAUACUGGUUGACUUGAUUCCGGUCGAGGCAGGCGGAAUUCGUAGUGUAGCGGUGAAAUGCAUAGAUAUUACGAAGAACUCCGAUUGCGUAGGCAGCUUACCAGGCCGGCAAUGACGCUCAUGCACGAAAGUGCGGGGAUCGAACAGGAUUAGAUACCCUGGUA